rnacentral:lncRNA from 1 species
AAACAUAGCCUAUUCCAUAUGAUUGGGAUAUCUGGAUGGAUGUAUUUGGGGAAAAGAAAAAGAAGAGAGUCUUUGGACUUGGUUCUGUAGGUAGGAGUUUAAAACAGUCCUCCUCUUCCAACCAAUCAUCAACCAUAAUGCCCGAGGAUUAUGUUGAGAUAAAGAGCCAAGUUCAUGCCUUAACUGCAUCAUUACAACAAGAGCAAUAUGAGAAAG